UUAAGAUAUAUUCAAAAAUUGUAUUUAAGCAGUGUCAAAAUGAAAAUAAAUUUAGAAUGCAAUAGUUCUCAGUCAAGCUUGGUGUUCAGCUUGUCUUAAACAAGGGUGAUACAAUAAUACUUCAUUGCACUGUCAAUUCGAAGCACGCAAUAGAAGCUACGCCAAUAAUGGUCAACAUCAAGGGCGAAACCAUUGAAUACAUAUUUCAAACCUCAUUCGGCGCGUCAAUGGUACGCAACUUAAUUGGUGUCACUUAUGGUAGCAGUGUAGAACUUUCGAAGCGAUGGAAUAUGUGCUGCAAGCAAAUCCAGAACUAUGAAUGCAAACGCUGCUACAUCGAAGGCAAAUCAUUUACACACCAGAUAUUAGGUUUAAUGUCACUUUUUUACGUGCAAUUAAACCUUCUGCUCAACACAAGCCCGGGAAGAACUGAAACCACAUGGUUUAGGUGCUUUUGUAACCGUUUAUCAUCGCGACGUGUGUAAACUGGGUUUUGCCAAUGAGCUAGAAGGCAAAGCAGUUGCAGUAUUUUUAAUUACCUCAGUUGGUCGUGCCGUUAGCAGCUAAAACUCAGUAAUUAAAGGGAGGACAAUCAUAACGUUGUUGUAUCGCUUUACAAAGACAUGGAUUCACCGAAAUUAGUUCAAUGGAAAUACUACAGUAAGAGCAUGGAUGUUAUGACUUGAACGUUGUCCGUGCUAUAUUUAGAAUAUAUAACAUAAGAAACCCUCCUCUCAGAAAUUGGAUGAAUCUAGUACUAGUGAAAUUAAUGAAAGAACAGAUCUUACAAAAACUUAUAAAGAAACCAAAAGAGUCCUCACAUAAUGUGCGCAGCUUACACUUCCAGGCCGCUCGACAUUACCGUCUUCACCAUAAGGGCACACGGGGCCCGUGCCCAGGGCCCCCAGGUCACAGGGGGCCCCGAAGGACCGACAAUUUCUCUCACACAUUUUUGUCGGGCAUAUUACACUUUUUUCACAAAUUAAUAAUCUCAUCAGAGGGUAUAUUUCCGAACACAUCCUACCUAAUUUACUAAGUACACCAUCUAGCGAUCACUCACGCAAUCACUCCGAUUCUAAAGUCAAGCCCAGAAUGAUAAUACAAUUUUAAUAACUAUCUUAACUAUAUUAAUAUAUGUGUAUGUGUGCAUGUUCAUGUGUUGGUUAUUGUUUGAACCUAUGUUAUGUGACCUUUGUUUUAAUGUGAGUACCCAUGCAAGCAUUAUUUAUUUAAGUGUUUGUUUAUGUAUUUACUUUGUACUGCCUCAGCAUUGGCGAAGACAACAUAUUGCGAGAAAAAAAGUAAUUAUUCAAUAUUAGUGGACUGUAUGUGUUUUUAAAAUAGUGAGAAUUACUCAGUUUCAUAUCUUAUCUAAUAUAUUGAAUAUUCUUAAGUGUAAUAAAACUAAAUAUAUUGAUGCGUACUGAAUGCCCCUUGGUAUCAACGUA